rnacentral:rRNA from 1 species
GACGAACGCUGGCGGCGUGCUUAACACAUGCAAGUCGUACGGUAAGGCCCUUUCGGGGGUACACGAGUGGCGAACGGGUGAGUAACACGUGAGUAACCUGCCCACGACUUUGGGAUAACGCUAGGAAACUGGUGCUAAUACUGGAUAUGUGCUCCUGCUGCAUGGUGGGGGUUGGAAAGCUCCGGCGGUUGUGGAUGGACUCGCGGCCUAUCAGCUUGUUGGUGGGGUAGUGGCCUACCAAGGCGGCGACGGGUAGCCGGCCUGAGAGGGUGACCGGCCACAUUGGGACUGAGAUACGGCCCAGACUCCUACGGGAGGCAGCAGGGGGGAAUAUUGCACAAUGGGCGCAAGCCUGAUGCAGCAACGCCGCGUGCGGGAGGACGGCCUUCGGGUUGGAAACCGCUUUCAGCAGGGACGAAGCUUUUUGUGACGGUACCUGCAGAAGAAGCACCGGCUAACUACGUG